rnacentral:rRNA from 1 species
GUGCCAGCAGCCGCGGUAAUACCGGCAGCCCGAGUGAUGGCCGAUAUUAUUGGGCCUAAAGCGUCCGUAGCUGGCCGAACAAGUCCGUCGGGAAAUCCACGUGCUUAACGGGUGGGCGUCCGGCGGAAACUGCUCGGCUUGGGACCGGAGGACCCGAGGGGUACGUCCGGGGUAGGAGUGAAAUCCCGUAAUCCCGGACGGACCGCCGGUGGCGAAAGCGCCUCGGGAGGACGGAUCCGACGGUGAGGGACGAAAGCUAGGGUCUCGAACCGGAUUAGAUACCCGUGUAGUCC